CACUUACACAUUGAUUUUCUUCUUUAUGUCUGAUCGGUUCAUCUUUACAGCUAAAAAUGCAGUGGUUGUGUGAAAACGUCAAAGAAAUAAAACAAUAUUUACGACUUCGUCCACCAUCUUGGCUUUGUUGCUAGGCUCGCGUAAACUAAGUCUCAGACCUCUAACAACACGGCCAAUGGCGGUCGUCUUUGAAAUUUACGAAUAUUUCAAUCAAAUAUGGACUUUUUAAACAAUCAUAUGUAAAAACCUGUUCAUGGUAUAAUAUUUUCGCAACGUUAAAGGUUUGUCAAGUCAACAAAGGGACAUGAUGCGUAAAAGAGACGUGGAUAAUUUUCUGAACGUGGUGAGAGUUCCACUAUUUAUAGACGUAUACAUUGCAUUGUCAAAUGUAGCUGAUAUAUUAUUUAAAGUUUGCUGUGUUUUGUUGUGUAUAAGUAUUUCACCUUGGACAUUAAUAUGUUUUUUUUCAGCUUCUGUACAUGUUUGUCGUUCUUGUUUGGAUAUUUGUUAUAUAUGCUGGUUAUCAUGUGGCCAAGGACAGUUUGAAAUAAAUUGUAAAACCUGCUCUGCUGCCUUCUGGUAUCGGUAUUUGGUAAAAAGUUAACAUGGGAUUAGUGAGGAGUCAGAAAUUCAGCUUUGUAAACAAGACAACCAUUGCAAGACUUGCAAGGAUUUGAAUUAUCCUAGUUUAUUCAGUACUAUUGAGUAGACCAUAGUCCAUAGUCACCAUGCAUGUGGGCAUAUGAGACAUGGGGCAGAGGGCCAGACUGCUAGGUUGUUUGCCAUGCUUGCCAAAGAUCUUCCGUGCUCAAGUUUGCCAUUCUAGGUGCGUACCUUUAUUGGUAACUUAACAGUUCAGACAGAGGGAAAUUGAUGAGGCCAUCAGACUCGCAACAAGUUGCAUGUUCUGUUGCACGUAACAAGCCUGUAUUAAUCUUCCCAUGCAGUGUUGAAAAAAGUUGCAGAUAGUCUUUUAUCAUCAUAAUCGACCCUGUAACAAACCGAUAUACUAACUUGAUUGUUCUAGACAUGUCAGAACAACUGGGAACAAGCAGUGUGAACACAUCCUGAUAUUGGCUAGACAACACAUUCUGCAAAUCUGCAAAUAACUUUCAACUUAUUUGCAGAUCUGUAACAGCUUGUGCAUUUUUAUGUUUGCAGUGAUAGGCAGUAAGUUAUGGUUUAUUUACAACAAAGCCUGAUUCUCAUAUGCCAUUGUUUGAGAUCAGUGAAGAAGAGCAUAGACAAAAGAUUUUACUCAUCAAUGAUCAACGACAAUGGGCAUCGCUGACGUCGGCCACAUAUAAGAAUCAGGCUUAAAGGACUAUUUAAGUCUGUGGAAUGUCAUUACAUCAGCCAGUGGCGUAGCCACAGAGGGACAAGGCGGGGUGAGUCUCCCCCCCCCCCACUCUCCUUCAGAAUCACCUUUGAGAGAUAUUUAAAUCCAUUGAGAAGGGGGGGGGGGGGGGACAUGUGCACAAUGCAACGUCCAACUUAAUACCACAAAUUUGUCAC